AUUACAUAGUCCCCAAACUAAAUAGUAAGACUUUAAAUAUAUUCUUAGGGAGAGCAAUAACAUUGCAACCCUUGUGGAAACCUUCAUUUUUUCAUGUCUAAGGGGAAAAAUAUAUAGAAUCAUUAAUGGAGGGGUGCGGCUUCUGUGUGCUGGAUGGCCACAGGGAGAAGAUUGGUAACUUCCGGGUGGAGCCCACAGGGAGAAGAUUGGUAACUUCCGGGUGGAGCCCACAGAGCUUUUCCGCGGGAGGGGAGAACAUCCCAAGAUGGACAAGCUGAAAGCGCUAAGAUAGCAGUGGCCCCUAUGGAUGACAAUGGGAGGAAGGUGCAGCAUGACGACACAGUGACCUGGCUGGCCUCCUCGGUGGAGAACGUCCAGGGAAAAUUCAAAUACAUCAUGUUCAAACCCAGCUCCAGACUUAAGGGAGAGAACGACUGGCAGAAGUACGAGGUGGCUUGUAAACGCAAGCCGAAGGUGACAACCAUCAGGAGGCUGUACCGAGGACUGGAAGCACCGGGAGAUGAAGACCAGACAGAGAGGAGUGGCACUCUACUUUAUAGUCAAGCUGGCCCUGCAAGUGGGGAAUGA
rnacentral:lncRNA from 1 species